rnacentral:rRNA from 1 species
GAAGCGGCAACAGCUCAAAUUUGAAAUCUGGCGCAAGCCCGAGUUGUAAUUUGUAGAGGAUGCUUCUAGGUAGCGACCGGUCUAAGUUCCUUGGAACAGGACGUCAUAGAGGGUGAGAAUCCCGUAUGUGACCGGCCCGCACCUUCUACGUAGCUCCUUCGACGAGUCGAGUUGUUUGGGAAUGCAGCUCUAAAUGGGAGGUAAAUUUCUUCUAAAGCUAAAUACCGGCCAGAGACCGAUAGCGCACAAGUAGAGUGAUCGAAAGAUGAAAAGCACUUUGGAAAGAGAGUUAAAAAGCACGUGAAAUUGUUGAAAGGGAAGCGCUCACAACCAGACUUCUGGGCGGUGUUCCGCCGGUCUUCUGACCGGUCUACUCACCGUCCCGAGGCCAACAUCAUCUGGGACCGCCGGAUAAGACCUUAGGAAUGUAGCUCCCCUCGGGGAGUGUUAUAGCCUGUGGUGAUGCGGCGCGUCUCGGGUGAGGUCCGCGCUUCGGCAAGGAUGUUGGCGUAAUGGUUGUCAGCGGCCCGUCUUGAAACACGGACCAAGGAGUCUAACAUCUAUGCGAGUGUUCGGGUGUCAAACCCCUACGCGUAAUGAAAGUGAACGGAGGUGGGAAGGGUAACCUGCACCAUCGACCGAUCCUGAUGUCCUCGGAUGGAUUUGAGUAAGAGCAUAGCUGUUGGGACCCGAAAGAUGGUGAACUAUGCCUGAAUAGGGUGAAGCCAGAGGAAACUCUGGUGGAGGCUCGCAGCGGUUCUGACGUGCAAAUCGAUCGUCAAAUUUGGGUAUAGGGGCGAAAGACUA